AGCGAACGCUGGCGGCAGGCCUAACACAUGCAAGUCGAACGAACCUUUCGGGGUUAGUGGCGGACGGGUGAGUAACACGUGGGAACGUGCCUUUAGGUUCGGAAUAACUCAGGGAAACUUGUGCUAAUACCGAAUGUGCCCUUCGGGGGAAAGAUUUAUCGCCUUUAGAGCGGCCCGCGUCUGAUUAGCUAGUUGGUUGAGGUAAUGGCUCACCAAGGCGACGAUCAGUAGCUGGUCUGAGAGGAUGAUCAGCCACAUUGGGACUGAGACACGGCCCAAAAUCCUACGGGAGGGAGCAGUGGGGAGUCUUGCGAAAUGGGCGAAAGCCUGACGCAGCCAUGCCGCGUGAAUGAUGAAGGUCUUAGGAUUGUAAAAUUCUUUCACCGGGGACGAUAAUGACGGUACCCGGAGAAGAAGCCCCGGCUAACUUCGUG
rnacentral:rRNA from 1 species